GAUGAACGCUGGCGACGUGCCUAAUACAUGCAAGUCGAGCGAACGGACGAGAAGCUUGCUUCUCUGAUGUUAGCGGCGGACGGGUGAGUAACACGUGGAUAACCUACCUAUAAGACUGGGAUAACUUCGGGAAGCCGGAGCUAAUACCGGAUAAUAUUUUGAACCGCAUGGUUCAAAAGUGAAAGACGGUCUUGCUGUCACUUAUAGAUGGAUCCGCGCUGCAUUAGCUAGUUGGUAAGGUAACGGCUUACCAAGGCAACGAUGCAUAGCCGACCUGAGAGGGUGAUCGGCCACACUGGAACUGAGACACGGUACAGACUCCUACGGGAGGCAGCAGUAGGGAAUCUUCCGCAAUGGGCGAAAGCCUGACGGAGCAACGCCGCGUGAGUGAUGAAGGUCUUCGGAUCGUAAAACUCUGUUAUUAGGGAGGAACAUAUGUGUAAGUAACUGUGCACAUCUUGACGGUACCUAAUCAGAAAGCCACGGCUAACUACGUG
rnacentral:rRNA from 1 species